AGGCAGUAAAUGACAACUCCCAGAUGGGAGUGCGAACGCGCGCUCUUGCACAGUGAGCCAAGUGCCAUUUUGAAAGAGUUGUCAUUGUACUUUGAACUAGCAGGCGACAAUAGUGGGCGCUGUGAGGAGAGAAGUUGCUGCCAUCUGUCCCAGAUUGAAGAAUGAAGGAAGAUGAAGUUCUGGACACUGGAGGUUCUAACCGAGACCAGGCGGAGGGCAAAUGGGAUGGAAGUUUUCAUA